CGCUGAAAACCGAAGGUGGGCUGCGUAUCCCAAGCGAGAAAUAAAAUUUCUGACGUAUUUACCUCCCUGCAGACGUUCAAGAUAAGGCGUCACUGCAACACACUCAUAAAGAGGUGCUUAAAGGACGACGACGUCUAGUGAAGUACGACAGUGCACAGCCAAAGAAAAAGAGGACUGCCGAGAACCUACCACCGACCUCGCUGGCAUGCAGCCUCCAUCUCGACACGGGGGAUACCGAUUUUCUGAAAGACGCUUCCGG